AUGUUCCUUCUUCUGGUGCUUCUCACUGGACUUGGUGGGAUGCAUGCAGACCUCAAUCAAUUUUAUCUUCAGCUUCUGUUAUUAAUUCUUAUGACGAAAAUGACAUCCGUCAUUCCAAACCUCUGCUAGUUCAGAUGGAUUGCAAUUAUAAUGGAUAUGUUGCGGGUAUUCCAAAUUCUCUUGUGACUCUCAGCGUAUGUUCAGGACUCAGGGGAACAAUGCAGCUGAAAAACAUCUCAUAUGGAAUUGAACCGAUGGAGGCUGUAUCAGGAUUUAUACACAAGAUUUAUGAAGAAAAAUAUGCUGACACUAAUAUUCUCUUAGAAGAAAAUGACACUUAUACUUGGUUUAAUUCAGAGUAUCAAGUCAGAAAAAGUUCAGAA
rnacentral:lncRNA from 1 species